rnacentral:rRNA from 1 species
UAACCCGCACCACUUAUCGUGGUGGGAGACAGUGUCAGGCGGGCAGUUUGACUGGGGCGGUCGCCUCCUAAAAGGGAACGGAGGCGCUCAAAGGUUCCCUCAGAAUGGUUGGAAAUCAUUCAUAGAGUGUAAAGGCAUAAGGGAGCUUGACUGCGAGACCUACAAGUCGAGCAGGGUCGAAAGACGGACUUAGUGAUCCGGUG